rnacentral:rRNA from 1 species
AAGAUGGCGACCGGCGCACGGGUGAGUAACACGUAUCCAACCUGCCGAUAACUCCGGAAUAGCCUUUCGAAAGAAAGAUUAAUACCGGAUGGCAUACGAAUAUCGCAUGAUAUUUUUAUUAAAGAGUUUCGGUUAUCGAUGGGGAUGCGUUCCAUUAGUUUGUUGGCGGGGUAACGGCCCACCAAGACUACGAUGGAUAGGGGUUCUGAGAGGAAGGUCCCCCACAUUGGAACUGAGACACGGUCCAA